AACACACUCACACCUACAGUUAAUUUAAAAUGUCUGCUUCACCUAACCUGAAUGUCUUCGGAAGUAGGAGGAAGCCAGAGCAUCUGGAGGGAACCCACGCAAACACCGGGAAUAAAAUUGAAAUUUAUUAUACCAUACUAUUACAUAAUGCACUGUUGUCAUAUAAUGUGUUGUUAAAAGCCCAAAAUAGAUCACUUGUCUAUAAGAAACCAAUUUUCAGAGUAUAACAUACCAUUAGUUGUGUCUGGGGGAGGUAAUGGUCUAGUGCAGGGCUAUUCAACUGGUGGCCCUCGGGCCACAACCAGCCCUUUAAUAAGUUUGGACCGGCCCGUGGCCCAUUUACCCAUAAAUAUUAAUAAAUACACAAUCAAAAGCCGCUACAAAGCGCAUUCGCCAAUUUUCGGCAUUUUAGGCCACUUUAUGGCGCUUUGCGGCACGUUGAAUCCUUUAUGGCACGUCAGCACUGUUUCCAAACAGCCCCACCUCACGUGAAGGCAUUGCAGGCACUUGAACAGUUGGUGGCACUAAUGUACCCUACUGGUUUGCAAACCACCAAUAAACUUGAACAAAGAAGAAGAUGACAACAGGGUGCAUUCAAAGGAGAAGAGACAAGAAAUGAUACAACUGA